rnacentral:lncRNA from 1 species
GUGCCGUAGAGCCUCUGUAUAGAACUCACACUUCACAGCCAGACGAGCUCUUCGAAACAGGGAUACGACAGGGCAGUUGGCAUCAGAACACAGGAAACACGCUCGAGAGACACUUCAGAGGUCAUCUGAGGAGGGAGGAGGGGAAGCAUGACAAGGGAGCGCUGCGAUUUGGGGCGCCGGGAUCCGUAGGGACAGUGACGGCAUGGAGGAUCCAGUACCCGAGAGCGAUUACAGGGCAGAAAGAGACGAAGCAGAACGUCUGCCUGGAGGUGCAUAUGACCUGACUCCUCAGAGCAGGGGAGACCCCCAGAGGGAGAAUCCGAACCCCGCCCCAAGCCGACGGAACACACACACCCCCUCAGCAUCCCAGCCUGAGAGUGCACUGCCCGCCGAUGGUCGGAUAAGGCGCAGCUUCUUCAACCUACCUGUGAUCAACCCAGACAGACUGCGCACAGCAAAAGCUUUGGUGGACAAGGCUGUGAAGUUGAAGAAGGUGUUUUCUGUGCAGGGUCCGUACCCUGUGGUCCGUGCUGCCCUCAGGGCAAGGGGAUGGGUGGAACGUUACCUCCCACGCCCGACCCCACAGAUUAGGCAUCCCCAUGGAGAUGAUGAUGAUGAUGGCGACAACAGGGAUGACAGUGAUGACAAUGAUGGUCAGCGCUCUUCUCGCCUGGUUCGUAACGAAUCUACGUAUCUCUACUGGACAAUGCGGAGAGAUGCGAUUGACUGUCGCACACUGCGAAAGGAGCAGAUGAUCAAUCAUUAUGCAAAGGCAGGAACUUUCACCACAAAGGUUGGUUUAUGUGUAAACCUAAGAAACCUGCAGUGGUUUGACGCAGCGGACCCAGACACCUUCUUCCCACGUUGCUACAGGCUCGGCGCAGAGGACGAGAAGCAUGCCUUCAUUGAGGACUUCCGGAGGACAGCCUGCAACAGCCUGUUGCAGUACGUUGUUGAGAGGCAUUACAGGAAUCAAUGCACCAACUUUGCAGGAUAUCCUAUCACAUUACCCUUCACUCCAUUCCUUCCUCUAGGUCAGAAGAAGCAAAAUAAGCGUCGAGCCAUGCAAAUGGUUGGCUCUGGAAUGAUUGACACUGCAUUACAAGUUUGCCAGGACUUCCUGGACUGUUUAGAUCAUCAUGAUAUUGACAUUGCCAAAGAAACUUCAUCUUCUCUCACAGAACAACAGUGGGCAGAAUUUCUUCACAACUAUUACCUUGUUGUGCAUGAUGGAGUGGAAAUGGAGGAUAGUGCUUGGUAUGUCGAUCGAUGUCACACAAUGCUGCAGAGGCUGCAAGCGGUCUGUCCGCAGCUUGACACAGACGGAAUCCAUAACAUCUGGAUUGUCAAACCUGGAGCCAAGUCACGCGGCAGAGGCAUCCUGUGUUUUAAUCGACUGCAUGACAUCCUGAAGCUCGUGGACAGCGAUCCUUCUUUGAUCAAGGACAGCAAGUGGGUGGUGCAGAAGUACCUGGAGCGUCCCUUUCUGAUUCAUGGCACCAAGUUCGAUGUACGCCAGUGGUUCCUGGUUACCGACUGGAAUCCCCUGACUGUAUGGUUCUACCGGGAAUGCUACUUGCGCUUCUCUACUCAGCCCUACUCUUUAGAAACACUGGAUAGCUCAAUACACCUAUGCAACAACUCUAUCCAGAAGCACUUCCAGCCAUCAGAGCUACGUCACCCAGAGGUGCCUGAGGACAACAUGUGGUCAUGUGAGCAGUUCUGUUCCUUCCUGUCCAAGCAGGGCCGGGAAGCCCAGUGGAGGGACAUCGUGGUCCCUGGGAUGCAGCAGGCGGUGGUACAUGCCCUACAGACUGCUCAGGACCUUGUGGAGUCGCGGAGGGGUAGCUUUGAGCUCUACGGGGCAGACUUCAUGUUGGGCCGAGACUUGAGACCAUGGCUGAUUGAGAUCAAUGCCAGCCCAACCAUGGCCCCCUCCACAGCUGUGACAGCUCGUCUGUGUGCCGCUGUACAGGAGGAUACCCUACGUGUGGUGCUGGACCGCCGACUUGACCGGAACGCCUCCACUGGUGGCUUCGAGCUCAUAUACAAACAGCCCGCUGUUGAAGUUCCACAGUAUGUGGGAGUAAAUCUGCUGGUGGAGGGGGCUUCCCUGAGACGACCUCGCCUUGCUUCUCAGAGAAGGAACACCUUCCUCCAAGAGCAUGAAGCCGACGCCCAGCCUAGACCCAGCCAGCUGGGACAAGAGGCAGCUGCAAAAACUGCCAAAUCUGCUGUCCGCAAACCAAGAGCAACUGCAGAGAAGCAAGUGCAGCUCAGGCCAACCAUAUCCUACAACAAGACGCCUGCCGCGACCAUAUUCCAUUCUACAGAAAAUGAGAACCACACAGAGAGUGAGAGGAAAGGACUAGCGCCUGUAAGGAGACGGAACCCUGUUGUGUUGGGUCGGCCUUUCAGUCUCUCCCCACUCAGGGUGCCCCGGAAGGUCACCGCAGACCGUUCCGGCCUCAGAGUAGAACCUAGGAACCCAAGACGGCUGGGUUUCACCAGAGCGACAGCUGUCCACUUACCCCAGUAUAACCUGUCCCGCUCUCUGGAUACAGCGUGGAACACUUACCGCUCUCAUAUCCCACACCGCCUGACGCAGCCCACUCUGAAGCCCUUACUACGGGCCCCUCGUGACCUUCCCGCCCUGCAGGGUCCCAUCUUACCACUGAAGGUCAUCAGCCUGCAACUGAGUCUGCUAAACAACACGCACACCAUUCCUCAUACUGCACACGUCUCAAAUCCUGGCCUCCAGAUGCGCCAGUUCUUAUCCCCAAAACAGGCCGUGACCCCCUGCAAGGAAGGUGGUCACAAGUCCUCAUAA